UUUUAUGGUGCAAAAACGGGUGCGCCCGAACCAGGAAGCUCGGCGCCACGCCAGGCGCUCGCCCCGACCCCGCCUUCCUCCGCCGCCUCGCCGCAUCUGCCGGCCUCACCGGAGAUCACCGCCGCCGCGACCAGGUCACGUCGCUGCACCUGCCUUCUCCUCAUCCCUCUCAUUCCUUCCUCCCUCUCACCAUCUCUCUCUCCCUCUCAUUGCAGCGCCGCCAUGGCCGCCCCGAGCUUCGCCGGCAGCCGCGUCGCCUGCCUCCGGCCACGGCUCUGGCGGGAUCCAGCCGCCCCUGCCCGGAUCCGCAUCCUCCGCUCCGCCGUGCCCCCGAUCCGGCCACCACCAAGCCUCCCGCACUGAUCCGCCCGUCCACCGGCCUCCCCCUGCUCGAUUCGGUUUGACGAGCGAAGUUAAAUGUCUUGUGGUGUCGAGGAUAAUAGUUUUUUUAGCCCCCGCAUGGUGAGUUGAGGAGGUUCUAUUUAGUUUUUGAUCUGUCGCGAGCGAUUCCUGUAUGGAAUUGGUAGAUCUUUGUGAAAAUUCGUACAUAUCUCAGUGCUCUGCGUUCUACUCCUGUAUGGAGUACUUGUUACUGUCGCUUUAGUCCUUUCAUUCUUUGAUCCUUAAAUGUGAGUUGCUGCGGUGAAUUAGCAGCUCAUUGGUGAAUCCAUGAAUCGGCGGUGAUGAAUUAGCAACUUGAUCUCUGAACUUCAGGUGAUUUGAUGCGGCUGGUUCCGGGUUCUGUGCUCUUCUGAAGGUGAACACAUGCCAGGAAGGAAAGCUUGUCUGGUCGUGGCGCGGCAUAGGAUGGAUUGAUGGUUGCUUCCUUUCGAACCACACAAACCCCUUCUAGCAUGGUCGAGAUGAUCAAAAUGGAGGAGGAUAUCAGUAUGUGGCUGUUUGUUUCCUUGGUACUGAAAUGCUAUCAAGCAGCUGGCUUCAGUGGCGGAGCUUCCUGUAGACCAACAGACACCACAAGACAUCAUAAUGACCUGAAGCUCCGUUGGUGAGGAGCAUUGCCGCUGCUGCAGGUUAGGGAGGAGGGUCGGGGCAACCACGAAUUCCGUCCUGCACUGCUUCAACACCGGCCUAUUCUAGCAUGAAUCUUCUACCGUAAGGAUUUGAUGCAGCAAGGGCCAUUUGUUUGACAGAAAUAGAGUUGUUACCGCAAGAGGUACAAAUCAAGGACCGAGGAGGGACGAGUGCGGAUUUGAUCUAAGUUGGGUUACUUUCUAUGAAUAGAUGGUGUGAUUGCUUUGUCAUUUCAUUUAAUUAAUAGACAAUUGAUGAGGCAAUUGGAAGAAUCGAGCAGCAAUUUUACUACAGAUCUGCGCCAUUGAUCUGGUCAUCUCUGUCAGUAGCAAGUUGCAUAAGAAAGGGUGGUGGCGUUGCAGAGGCGUGAAUGAAAAAGUUAGUCUGGGAUACAAUUAUAAUUGUGAGUCCCUCAAUUAUAGAGCGGAUCCAGGUGAAAGAUGUAGGUGGUGUGUGGAUUGAACUCUAGAUCGGGAACCUGCAGUACUAGAUGGACGAUAACUAUGCUUACAAUUGUUGAUCGAGAACUGUGAGGUAUGUGCCUGUCCCUCUUCCACCCAUAUCAACAUGUAAUUUUGUAAGAAGCUAAUUUAGUAUAGCAAGAACAUCAUGUUUUAGACACAGACUGCAGAUCGAUGUACUUUGUCCGUCUUUCCUUCACCAAAGCAUGCGUUGUGAGAUCAUGAUUACUACCAGAUUGUCUGUUCUUACAGGAAACAUCUACAAACAGCCGUUAUUCGUUAUUGUGCUCUUCCAUGUUGCGCCGCUGACAAGAGGAUGGAGGGUUUUAGUCGUCGUCGCGGAGAAGAAGGGUAACCACCAAGCAGGAGAGAGGGAGGAAAGCUAUGCCCGUUCGCUGGAAGCCAGGCAACCCAGCGCCAUCGUCGAGGAGAGCGAGGAGGGGCUAGAUUGUGCCGCCAUAGAGGUGAGCUAUGAGGGGCUGCGGCAUCCCUGCAUAGGAGGGGGAGAGAAGCCGCCACCACACCAGGUGAUUCACUGAUUCUACUUGAAACUCCUCGGAGCUUGCACCAGGCUCAAGCGUGAGUCCACUGAUCUUCAUAUUCAGGCUGCAACAUUUUCUGAAUUUUAAGUUUGGCUGAAGAUGCUCUUACUCGUACACUAGAUCAACUGUACAAAUUGCUCUAAAUGUACUGCUUGACUGCUUGUCUUUAUUUUAAUCAUUUUCUUUGGCAGCUCUAAA